rnacentral:miRNA from 1 species
UUAUUGGUCGGGGAUAGCAAA